CUGAAUUACUGGGGGGUUGUAGCUGGUUCUUCGGAACAUGUGCACGCCUCCUAAAUUCAUCUUAACCACCUGUGCACUUUGGUAGACUAUGAUGACUCUCAAUCUCGAAGAUUGGAUAGAGGAACUGCUUAUGCUGUUCUUCAAUUUCAUGGUCUACGUCUUAUCUAUAUACUAUAUUGUCCAGAAUGUUUGUAUUAGGUAUUGCACCUAUAAACUUAAAA
rnacentral:misc_RNA from 1 species